rnacentral:tRNA from 1 species
GCCCCCGUAGCUCAGUGGAGAGAGCGCCGGCCUCCGGAGCCGGAGAGCGUGGGUUCGAGUCCCACCGGGGGUGCCA